UAUGUUAUGUUUCACGCCAUAUUAUCAGACCACCUUAAGUGGGUCCGCCUUAAAUUUUGAGUUUGUGUGAUCGCUGUUGAUUGGUUGCUGGUAAACUGUGUACAGACGUUUUACGUUCGAAUUGCAGAGAAAAAAUGUUUUCUGGUAGCAACAUUGUGCAGUAUGAGCGAACCAUUUCACCAAAAAAAAAAACAACCUCCUAAAGAAAGAAAGAGCGACAUCACAUUGCGGGAUGACGUCACCUGAAAAUGACGCUGCUGAGCGGUGUGCCGCGCGCUUUUUUUUUCUUGCAGGAGACUUGUUGGCUUCGCUAACGGACGCAGUUUUGAACUCGCGCCAUUUAUAGCUGCUUGGACCAGCAUCUUCGGAAUUUGUAGACAUCCUGGCAACUUACAAUUAAUUCGAGGUGAGGGUGCUGACCCAAAUCUGUGUGGACCAGAACGUACCAAAGAGAACUACAACUCUGCUGUUGAUCGCCUCCAGAUUGACAAUACACCAGACGUCGAAGGAGUGAAGUUCAGACAUCUCGGAAAUGGGGGACAGCAUAAGGAGUUCCAUUACUAAGGUGCUGCCGGACCUGUCUGCCUCAAUCCUUGAAAUUGUACUGGAGGAACUACAAUCAUUAGGAGUGGAGACAUCUGAGGACUUGCAGUUCAUCAGUGAGACUGAUCUGAACUCUGUCCUGAGACCAAUUCAGGCAAAGAAAACUGCUGGCUGCCUGGAAACAAACCACACCAAAUACGGACAUUUCAAGCCAGGCCAGCCUAUCGUCUUCAUCUUCUUGCUCCUCAUUUUCUGCCUCCCCCUCACCCAGUCCAAUAUAUUCUCUAGACUGGGUAGAUAAAUUUAGAAUUCCAUGUGAAGAUUUUCCAGAAGACUUGAUCCAGUGUCUUCAGAGAGAGA